UAAAAACUAAAUAUCUCCAAAACGACACCGUUAGGUUCCGAAAGCAGCAGCCAAAUUCCAAUCCAUAGAUUCACCAUCAAUCACACGCGCGCAUGUUAGUCUUCAGAAAGAGUUGAUUAAAGCGUGGUUACUGUGAGUCACAGUAGGGUUGCAGCAGAUUAACGCCACCACUCUCUCUCUUUUUCCUCUGAACGCAGCCCUUGUAAUAUCCAAACCACAAACCUUGCAAAACCCUUGCCUUCUAAUCCUAGCUAAACCCUAGCUUAAUUUUAUUUAUUUCAUAACAAUGGGAGCUUCUCUGCCUCCUAAAGAGGCCAAUCUCUUCAAGCUCAUCGUCAAAUCAUAUGAAACUAAACAGUAUAAGAAGGGGCUGAAAGCAGCAGACGCUAUAUUGAAAAAGUUUCCAGAUCAUGGAG